GGAUGCGAUCAUACCAGCACUAAAGCACCGGAUCCCAUCAGAACUCCGCAGUUAAGCGUGCUUGGGCGAGAGUAGUACUGGGAUGGGUGACCUCCUGGGAAGUCCUCGUGUUGCAUCCC
rnacentral:rRNA from 1 species